rnacentral:rRNA from 1 species
CGCUUACGGGAGGCAGCAGUGGGGAAUUUUCCGCAAUGGGCGAAAGCCUGACGGAGCAAUACCGCGUGAGGGAUGACUGCCUAUGGGUUGUAAACCUCUUUUUUCAGGGAGGAAUCAAUGACGUUACCUGAAGAAUAAGCAUCGGCUAACUCCGUGCCAGCAGCCGCGGUAAGACGGAGGAUGCAAGUGUUAUCCGGAAUCACUGGGCGUAAAGCGUCUGUAGGUGGUUUAAUAAGUCAACUGUUAAAUCUUGAGGCUCAACCUCGAAAUCGCAGUCGAAACUAUUAGACUAGAGUAUAGUAGGGGUAAAGGGAAUUUCCAGUGGAGCGGUGAAAUGCGUAGAGAUUGGAAAGAACACCGAUGGCGAAGGCACUUUACUGGGCUAUUACUAACACUCAGAGACGAAAGCUAGGGUAGCAAAUGGGAUUAGAUACCCCAGUAGUCCUAGCCGUAAACAAUGGAUACUAGAUGUUGAACAGAUCGACCUGUGCAGUAUCAAAGCUAACGCGUAAGUAUCCCG